rnacentral:rRNA from 1 species
AGUGGCGGACGGGUGAGUAACGCGUGGGCAACCUGCCCUGCACUGGGGGAUAGCCGGUUGGAAACGACCGGUAAUACCGCAUACCUUACAUUUGCCGACAUGACAGAUGUAAGAAAAGUGAUUUAGUGGUGCAGGAUGGGCCCGCGUCCGAUUAGCUAGUUGGUGGGGUAACGGCCUACCAAGGCGACGAUCGGUAGCCGACCUGAGAGGGCGGACGGCCACAUUGGGACUGAGACACGGCCCAGACUCCUACGGGAGGCAGCAGUGGGGAAUAUUGCACAAUGGGGGAAACCCUGAUGCAGCGAACCGCCGCGUGAGUGAAGAAGUAUUUCGGUAUGUAAAGCUCUAUCAGCAGGGAAGAUAAUGACGGUACCUGACUAAGAAGCCCCGGCUAAAUAUGUGCCAGCAGCCGC